GACGAACGCUGGCGGCGUGCUUAACACAUGCAAGUCGAACGGAAAGGCCCUGCUUGCAGGGUGCUCGAGUGGCGAACGGGUGAGUAACACGUGGGUGAUCUGCCCCUUACUUUGGGAUAAGCCUGGGAAACUGGGUCUAAUACUGGAUAGGACCAUGCUGUAGGUGGUGUGGUGGAAAGAUUAGUUUCGGCAAGGGAUGAGCUCGCGGCCUAUCAGCUUGUUGGUGGGGUAAUGGCCUACCAAGGCGUCGACGGGUAGCCGGCCUGAGAGGGGGGACGGCCACAUUGGGACUGAGAUACGGCCCAGACUCCUACGGGAGGCAGCAGUGGGGAAUAUUGCACAAUGGGCGCAAGCCUGAUGCAGCGACGCCGCGUGGGGGAUGACGGCCUUCGGGUUGUAAACUCCUUUCAGCCAUGACGAAGCCCUUGUGGUGACGGUAGUGGUAGAAGAAGCACCGGCUAACUACGUG
rnacentral:rRNA from 1 species